ACGGGGGCCCGCACAAGCGGUGGAGCAUGUGGUUUAAUUCGAGGAUACGCGAGGAACCUUACCAGGGCUUAAAUGUAGGUUGCAUGAUCUAGAGAUAGAUCUUUCUUCGGACUACCUACAAGGUGCUGCAUGGUUGUCGUCAGCUCGUGCCGUGAGGCGUCAGGUUAAGUCCUAUAACGAGCGCAACCCCUGUCGUUAGUUACCAGCAAUUAAAGUUGGGUACUCUAGCGAGACUGCCGGUGCAAACCGUGAGGAAGGUGGGGAUGACGUCAAAUCAUCACGGCCCUUACGUCCUGGGCUACACACGUGCUACAAUGGCCGGCACAGAGAGCAGCCACUACGCGAGUAGGAGCGAAUCUUCAAAGCCGGUCUCAGUUCGGAUCGCAGUCUGCAACUCGACUGCGUGAAGCUGGAAUCGCUAGUAAUCGGAUAUCAGCCAUGAUCCGGUGAAUACGUUCCCGGGCCUUGUACACACCGCCCGUCAAGCCAUGGAAGCUGGGGGUACCUGAAGUCGGUGACCGUAAGGAGCUGCCUAGGGUAAAACUAGUAACUGGGGCUAAGUCGUAACAAGGUAACCAC
rnacentral:rRNA from 1 species